rnacentral:rRNA from 1 species
GACGAACGCUGGCGGCGUGCUUAACACAUGCAAGUCGAGCGGUAAGGCCCUUUCGGGGGUACACGAGCGGCGAACGGGUGAGUAACACGUGGGUGACCUGCCUCUAGCUCUGGGAUAAGCCUGGGAAGCUGGGUCUAAUACCGGAUAUGACCUCGCGGUGCAUGUUGCGGGGUGGAAAGCCUUGUGCGGCUAGGGAUGGGCCCGCGGCCUAUCAGCUUGUUGGUGGGGUGAUGGCCUACCAAGGCGACGACGGGUAGCCGGCCUGAGAGGGCGGACCGGCCACACUGGGACUGAGACACGGCCCAGACUCCUACGGGAGGCAGCAGUGGGGAAUCUCGCGCAAUGGGCGAAAGCCUGACGCAGCGACGCCGCGUGAGGGAUGACAGCCUUCGGGUGUAAACCUCUUUCAGCCCUGACGAAGCGAAAGUGACGGUAGGGGCAGAAGAAGCACCGGCCAACUACGUGCCAGCA